rnacentral:rRNA from 1 species
CUACGGGGUGCUCCAGUGGGGAAUAUUGGACAGUGGAGGAAACUCUGAUCCAGCCAUGCCGCGUGAAUGAUGAAGGCCCUCGGGUUGUAAAAUUCUUUUAGUAGGGAAGAUGAUGACGGUACCUACAGAAUAAGCUCCGGCUAACUUCGUGUCCAGCAGCCGCGGUAAUACGAAGGGAGCUAGCGUUGUUCGGAAUUACUGGGCGUAAAGGGUACGUAGGCGGCUUAGUUAGUCAGAUGUGAAAGCCCCGGGCUCAACCCGGGAACUGCGUUUGAUACUGCUAAGCUAGAAUUCGGUAGAGGUGAGUGGAAUUUCCAGUGUAGAGGUGAAAUUCGUAGAUAUUGGAAAGAACACCAGUGGCGAAGGCGGCUCACUGGACCGACAUUGACGCUGAGGUACGAAAGCGUGGGGAGCAAACAGGAUUAGAUACCCUGGUAGUC